rnacentral:rRNA from 1 species
UACGUAGGGUGCAAGCGUUGUCCGGAAUUACUGGGCGUAAAGGGCUCGUAGGUGGCCAACUAAGUCAGACGUGAAAUCCCUCGGCUUAACCGGGGAACUGCGUCUGAUACUGGAUGGCUUGAGUUCGGGAGAGGGAUGCGGAAUUCCAGGUGUAGCGGUGAAAUGCGUAGAUAUCAGGAGGAAUACCGGUGGUGUAGACGGCUCUCUGGACCGCCACUGACGCUGAGACACGAAAGCGUGGGUAGCAAACAGG